GAAAAUUCUUUUGAUUUGGACUUAAAUUCUCACUGCAAUAAUGUCAAUGGAUUUACUAUUGUCCUUUAUUUUUGGUAAUAUAUUAGUAUUUUUCCAUCAUUUUGUAAUUUUUUUCCGUUCGGUUUGGUGGAGAUGAAUAUGGUGCUAAACGACAACAAUUAAUUGGUUAAAGUGUUUUAGAGAAUAAUAUUUGCAAUGGUCUUAUUUGGAUCUUAAGUAAUUUUUAAAAUUAGAUUUGUUCUUCUUUUAGUUUCUCCAACAAAACAGACGUACCUUGAGAUGAGAAAGAAUACUUAGACGGAGAAGGCUUGGAAAUCGAUAUCAGAAAUCAGCUUGGAAAUCGAUAGGCUCGCAGGGCUGUUAGGUGUCGGCUCUUGAAUCGGUAAUCUCUAAAGGUGGGAAGGUUGCCUAAAAGGAUGUGUUGAAUCUGAUUGAGCUGUUAUUGAAUGAACUGCUUAAAUUGGAUACGACACUAACAGCUGAUGGUGAUUUGAAAUUCCAGAGGAAAAUGCAGGUAGUGUUUUAUUUCGUAUUGGCACGUGAAUUUUAGGUUUUGAUUCAGAUAAGAAAGAGUGAGACCCGGAAACAAACACCACAUGGGCACAUAAUUUUGUAAUAUUAGAACACGGAUACGCUUGGGACACAUUGAGGCUAGAAAUUGCAAAUUACAAAUUCGUCUAAAA